CGGCUGUUAGCCCUGAGGGGCGAUUCCUGAGUCCCAGGGAGUUGGGUUAGAGCUUAAACGCCCGGAGUUCUGCGGCUCUGUCGUUGAUGAUCUCAUCACUGUGUCUGUGACUUUCAAACCAGAGAUUCUGCUGUGGGACUUCUCUCUCGACAAGAUCCAGGGAUAUGAUUUCAAAGCUCAUGUGGAAUGAAGACUGCCCCAGCUGAAAGCAAUCCACCUGAGUAAAAAAGAGAAGAAAGAAAAGAACAGAGCAGAAUGCAACUGAAGCCCACAAUUUGGGAUUUCUAGGAUGGGGAGGUUGGAGUUGGUUCUUUGAUUAUGGGGUUUCUUUUAUUAUUGUUGUAGUUUGAAGAAGGAGUGGCAAAGAAAGAGAAAAUGUCUCUAAAUUGGAAAGCAUUGCCUGACUCUGACUUUUUGAAUUACCUCUAACUUAAAGAUUAUGAUGUGUUUAUUUCCUCAUCUAAGAAGAGAAGGAUAGUAAUUGCCUCCCUCACCCUCAUGCUCUUUUCCCUCUGCUGUCAAGGGAAUAAGAGCUUAUUGAUGACAACUCCCUUGUGCUCAAUCUUGCUUCACCACUGACAGCAAAAAUAAAAGAAAUAGCAUAUUAACUGCAAAAGAAUUGGGAACCCCUAUAAGUCCGA